ACCAGACAUCUAACCUCUAAGCUCUUGUCGAGUUAACGGUCAAACUAGGUCAGAUUGCGGCAUUAGGUGUCGCCUUAGAAGUGAACUAUAAACUCGACGUGACUUGUUUCGGCACACGAACUCUCCGCCCUCGGUGCCUUGCAUGACCUCAGGGAGCGUGGUGUCUUUCCCAAGACGCGUUAUCGUGGACGUGAGAAGUAGUAGUUGCACGCGUAGAAUAGUGAGUGAAUAGUGCAGUAGUGAUGGUGCAGCGAGGAUCCGAGGUCUUACCAGGCCACAUGGUGCCUGUGAAGUGCGAGUACUCCCCGCCGCCCUACACGUUGCCCCUGCAGGAGUCGACAGACGCCCUCACUUCUGCGGGCAGUGGGGCCUCGACCUUCUCCUCCCUUAUGGCCGACAUGAGUCCACGCAGUUCCUGUGGGGGACACGAGUCCCAAACCACCUCGGGAGACGAGGAACCGCGAGGGCGCAAACGACGGCUGGAAGACGAGGGCGAAGAGGCGAGGCUGGCGAAGGCGAAGAAGAAAUCUCCUCAGAGCUACGAGGAGCUGCAGCAGGCGCGGGUGCUUGCUAAUGUGCGUGAGCGCCAACGCACCCAAAGCCUGAACGAGGCUUUCACCUCCCUCAGAAAAAUCGUCCCUACGCUGCCCUCCGACAAGCUCUCCAAGAUCCAGACGCUGAAAUUGGCCAUCCGCUACAUAGACUUCCUGUAUCAGGUCCUGGACACGGACGCGCACGACCAACGGCUCUCCUCCUCCUGCACGUACGUCGCACACGAGCGCCUAAGUUACGCCUUCAACGUGUGGCGCAUGGAGGGCGCCUGGGGCGGCCACCUUUAAGAGAGAAAGGGGACGCAGACACACCAGACCCAGUGCAGAGAGGAAUGAGUACACAGCUAUUCGCCAGUGCGUUCUUGUCGGACAGAAAGCUUAUGUCUAAUAAUGAAGAUGUUGAUGAAGAAAACAUAAAAAAGAAGAGAAAUAAAAUACAGAGUUAAAGAAAUUGCAAUGCGACAAAAAGAGGAGAAAAAGGAAGAAGAAAACAAAUAAAACAUCCUCGCUGGACAUAGUAUCGCCUGAAUGAUCGUUAACGAAUCUCAGGUUGAUAAUUACCGAUAAUCCAGCGGGAGGUGCUUCCUGGGAGCUAACUGAAGUUCCGCGGAUGUGGUGGCAGAGGCUGGCUACUGCUUAGUCUGUUCCUCCAUCCUUGCCUGCCUGCGUGCCUGCCUGAGCGUCCUCAAACUCCGAAGUUAUUCCUGAAAUUUGGCUGUUAUAGAAUAAGAGAUAAAGGAAUUAUGUACUACAUAAUGAAUUAGAGAACUAGAACAAAUCAAUCGAUAGUGAUUAUUUACUGUCUGAGUGCUGAAGUUGGUGCUAUAAGUAAAUAUGUAUAUAACGUUGUAUUUAUUCAGUUUGACGGCAAAUAUGUGUACAUAGUCUGUAAGGAAGUUAACCAUCUUGAGAAUUACACGUCGCUCAGUGAGAGAACGAGUCCAUCAACCCUAGAUAUCCGUACAGUGGCCACCUGGACCGCACACAGAAUGUUGUUACUCUGGAUAUCUAGGCUGUCAACCGCUAACACUUAAGGACGUGUUGAUCACAGGUGUAAUAUGCAAUAUUCCUUUGCAAUAUCCAGUGCAUUCACACAAAGACCGUGCCCCCUGAUUUACCUUUCCAAGAUCAAACUUUCCAAUAAAAACCCGACAAGUAUCUGAAACUCAGUUUUGUUAGCCGAUUUCACAGAAAUAUAUUUUCACUGUCUUUUAUUUUUAGGGUAAUAUUUCUAUCCAUAUGAUAGAUGUAAAAAAAUUAUGAGAGGUCAGUGAUCUUAGUCUUACGUUAGCCGGACCAUUUAAUAUGAUAUGACAAAAAAAGUAUGUUUGUAAACAAAUGAGACGUUUAUGAACGUAAAAAUGUCAAAUGUAUUUCUAGUUUGCUUUAUUUUGUUUCUUUUACGUCAAGCAAAGUGCACUUAAGCAAGCUUGUGGAUUCGGGUCGUGACGAAACGUGUGAAUAACUUUUUUCCAUACAGGUGAUCCUCAUAUUUCUAAGGUUCCCAGUUAGGUAAAGCGCUCCUCACUUCUUACUUCUGGUUUGGUCUCUUGACGUAUCUGCGCAUCAACCUUUAAAUAUUCCACAUUGAACGCAUUAUGGGACUGAAAUUAUGUAUGCAAGGGUUUGUCACGAAUGUCUGUUCUCCUUUUUAUAUAAUAGAUUUCUUCGAUAUAAAACCGGUCCGGCGAUGGAAAGACCUAAUUAGGUGUAGAUUGUACAUAUACUACAUAUUAGAUAUUUAUAUAUUAUGCAUAUAUUUCUUAUUUUAUGUGUCAACGCAUGUCUCGUCAUUUGUAUUAGGGAUAUUGAUUUUAAUUUUUUUCUCUUUGUGUUUCAUGUCACCAGACUCAGGUAUAUUAUAAGUAGGCAUGUAGGCCUAUUGUCUGUAAGCAUUCGUACGCGUACUUCCCCAUUCAU